CCAGUUGGAAACGACUGCUAAUACCGCAUACGCCCUGAGGGGGAAAGGUGGGGAUCUUCGGACCUACCGCGAUUGGAUGCACCCAGGUGGGAUUAGCUAGUUGGUGAGGUAACGGCUCACCAAGGCGACGAUCUCUAGCUGGUCUGAGAGGAUGACCAGCCACACUGGAACUGAGACACGGUCCAGACUCCUACGGGAGGCAGCAGUGGGGAAUAUUGCACAAUGGGGGAAACCCUGAUGCAGCCAUGCCGCGUGUGUGAAGAAGGCCUUCGGGUUGUAAAGCACUUUCAGCGAGGAGGAAAGGGGUGAUGCUAAUACCAUCAUCCUGUGACGUUACUCGCAGAAGAAGCACCGGCUAACUCCGUGCCAGCAGCCGCGGUAAUACGGAGGGUGCAAGCGUUAAUCGGAAUAACUGGGCGUAAAGCGCACGCAGGCGGUCGGAUAAGUCAGAUGUGAAAGCCCCGGGCUCAACCUGGGAACUGCAUUUGAAACUGUUCGACUAGAGUCUUGUAGAGGGGGGUAGAAUUCCAGGUGUAGCGGUGAAAUGCGUAGAGAUCUGGAGGAAUAC
rnacentral:rRNA from 1 species